rnacentral:rRNA from 1 species
GACGAACGCUGGCGGCGUGCUUAACACAUGCAAGUCGAACGGACAGGCCCUGCUUUUGUGGGGUUCUCGAGUGGCGAACGGGUGAGUAACACGUGAGUAACCUGCCCUUGACUUUGGGAUAACUUCAGGAAACUGGGGCUAAUACCGGAUAGGAGCUCCUGCUGCAUAGUGGGGGUUGGAAAGUUUCGGCGGUUGGGGAUGGAAUCGCGGCUUAUCCGCUUGUUGGUGGGGUAGUUGCUUACCAAGGCUUUGACGGGUAGCCGGCAUGAGAGGGUGAACGGGCACAUGGGGACUAAGAGAGGGACCAGAAUCCUACGGGAGGCAGCAGUGGGGAAUAUUGCACAAUGGGCGGAAGCCUGAUGCAGCAACGCCGCGUGCGGGAUGACGGCCUUCGGGGUGUAAACCGCUUUCGACGGUGACGAAGCGUGAGUGACGGUAAUGGGUAAAGAAGCACCGGCUAACUACGUG